GCCAGUUGUGCUGAAGAGUAAAAGGGAUAGUGUUAGAUGCACUUGAGACACUUGAAUUUCGGAAGACAUUCUUACUUUUCAAUUACAUUGGAUGGGACAAGUUAAAGGAUGUUUCUGCUGAUGUAAUUCUGAGUUACCAAAGACUUGGUAUGAGGCAGUUUGAGAUCGAGAUUUGGAACCAUAAUGGCAUAGACCCGGAAAAAGAGCGAGUUAAUAAGAUGAACUGGGAUACUGGAGAGAGGUACAACUACCAUUGUCAUAUUGAUUCAGAAGGAAAUAGUCACUUCAAGGGUCCGUAUCUGGACAAUGCAGCUACACUCUUGCAGAAAAAUGGAGAUGAAAAAUGUAAUGAUAAUUAAGUUUAUGGAAAAAAAACAGAGAACCUAGGAGCAGAGUCUGUGAUGCAGAAUCCAAUUUUCAACUAGGUUGCUGUUAAAGGAAUUGUAGUGGGUAGAAAAUGUUAUCGGUUCUUUGGUGAGUGCUUCUUAUUCUCUUUUUGUAUGGAUGUUUGUUAUCAAGCUGACACGUGUAACGUAACCUACUAUUAGAGGUCGUUGACUUUUGUUGACCGGUUUGGGAUUGAAGAAAAAAAACAACCCUUAAAGUUGGGAUUAUUCUAGAAUAAUCCAAAGUUGGGAUUAUUAAAAGAAAAUGGAGCAAAAUUGAGAUUAUUAUUUACAAUUUUUCCUAAAAAGUAACCAAAAUAUGAUAAAUACUACCCGUUAUCCGUAAACGCUAGUCCUCUACGGCUAAGGCACUGGUCACUACUCAAAUCAGUGGCUAAAUACUCUUACUUGUGUUAAAAAAAAUAACUCUUACUUGUUUUCUAGUACUCCGUAAUGUUUAGAUUGGUCAAAACACUACAGCCAAAAAGAGUCUUAGGGAAUUUUUUUUUUUUUUUUUUUUGGCAUUACUCUUUAAAAUUAGAAAACCAAAGAAAAUAUGAAGUACAAAGCAUUCUGAAGGGUCACACAGCUGAGUAGCUCACAGUACACUAUCUCCUUGAUAACCUCCGGUCUCCGGCGAGAAGCAGGAGAAGGUUGGCCUGAACUAGCCCUCUUGCCGGAAAAUAGUGUAGCCACUGAAUAUCAACUAAGCAUAGGUAUUUUCUUGCUGUCUUUUUUGUGCUAAUUUCUGAAUAAAUUCAUCAUAAAUUAUAAUAAUUUUCAAAUUACUAUCAUUAUGUACUGUAAUUUGUCUUUUUUACGGAUGAGUAUUUUUAUUUUUGGUGAGAAUUAGAGAGUAUUAUUUAUAGGGGUUUUGUUUUUUUCACAGAAUUUUUUUACGGAUGAGUAUUUUUAUUUUUGAUGAGAAUUACAGAGUAUAUUUAUAGGGGAAAUACGGAUGAUCAGUCAGAUUGACAUGGGAAGCAAAUCUAAGGGUACAUCCGUCUUUUGAAGGGUGAAAUAUACAUCAAAAUAUCAUGCCUUAACAGAACACAAAUAUUCCUUUUCCAUUUAUAGACUAAGAGCAAAGUCAUUAGUUGCCCUAGUCAUAAAUAUUUUAUGCACAUAAAGCAUUAAAAAGAAUAUUAAAAAUAACACUAUAGACCAAUUAUUAUAAGACAAGUGGCACACCCUCAUCUUUUGCCCACCAUUUGCUAGAGGUCAUGGCCAUG